UAGGGAAUAUUGGGCAAUGGAGGCAACUCUGACCCAGCAACGCCGCGUGAAUGAAGAAGGUUUUAGGAUUGUAAAGUUCUGUUCUUAGGGAAGAAAAAAAUGACGGUACCUAAGGAGAAAGCCCCGGCAAACUACGUGCCAGCAGCCGCGGUAAUACGUAGGGGGCAAGCGUUGUCCGGAAUAACUGGGCGUAAAGGGAGUGUAGACGGCCUUUUAAGUUAAAUGUGAAAGCCCCAGGCUCAACCUGGGAACUGCAUUUAAUACUGGGAGGCUAGAGUGCAGGAGAGGAGAGUGGAAUUCCAAGUGUAGCGGUAGAAUGCGUAGAUAUUUGGAGGAACAUCAGAGGCGAAGGCGGCUCUCUGGACUGUAACUGACGUUGAGACUCGAAAGCGUGGGGAGCAAACA
rnacentral:rRNA from 1 species